GAAAAACCUUUGUGUGAGAAGUUAAGGGGACUGAGUUUUAUAGAGCCCCUCCCGACCCAAGCUAGCCCCUUCCUCCAACUGAGCUUUAGGGAGUCCCGAUGGGGUACAGUUCCUCCGGAUGUGCAGAGGGAAAACUGAAUCUCAGAGAGGUUGAGGAACUCGCCCAGGGUUACUCAGCUGGGAAGUGGCCGGAGCUGGGAUUUUAACCCAAGUCGUCCAGCCAAACGUAAGAUUCUGUUUGUGAGGUUAACACUGAACCCCCAGGGCCGAGGACUACGUCCCCUUACACCGCAGAUAAACCAACUGCAGUGCCUCGGCUAAGACUGAAAGACCCGGCAGUGGCCACCCUCCUCAGGCUGGAUGGAUGGAUGCUGCUUCCGCCACUGCAGAGGGUGAGCAAGGAGCUUGAGCCAGCUUCAGCUGUUACCGUUGGAAGACGUUCCAGGAUCUUGGCCCGGUCACACGGUUAAGUCGCGGGGCCGGGAGCCUCGGUUCCUGACGCCGAGCCGGAAGAGGGUGGAUCACCGCCCCAUUUCGAUUUCGCCGCCGCGCGGGCGGGGUCCCGCCACAGUCCCGAGCGAGGCUGGCCGGAAGAAGCCGGGCGGCCGGAGGCGGCUCUCCAGCCCGCAGCAGCGAGCGAGCUCCCAGGACGCGACCGGAGCGGACGGAAGGAGGCAUCGCUGCGCUCGGCCCGGCCCGCGGGGGCUCCCCCGGCUCCGCGUUCCCGCGGUCGCUCGCCGGGCCCGCGGUCCUGCAGGCCGCGCCGGUCCGUCCGCCCACACCUUCGCGCUCUCCGCACCCUGGUCCCCUUCUCUGAACUACUGUGACCAGCCUCGGGAAAAAAAGCCCCAGCUUCCCAGAACUAUUGGAUAUCAUCCAUUGGAUGUGAUGGCAGCAGUAGGAAAAUACAGAAAUGUAAGAACAACACAGCUUUUUCUUAGACCUCAAACAAAAACCUCCCACUUGGGCUCCCCUUGACCACGACUUAACUACACAAGCCUAUGGACCUGGCUCAGGGUGGCUGAGACAGGGUCUCCUGGGUCACACAGAUCCUGGCCUUGGCUAUCCAGCCCUGGGACCUAGCACGAGUCAUGGACCUUCUGCCUCACUUUUCUCAUCUGUAAGAUUGGACCCCCUGUCCAAUUCAUGGGGGUUGGGCAUGGGAGUGAAAUGAGAUACCCCUGCAAAUCACGGCAUUUAGCAGGUAGUGGGUACUGGACAAUACUUCCUUAGCCUCCCCAACCUGAGCCAAACUGCCCUUUGUGCUUGUUCCCAAAAACCUCUCUCUCUGCCUGUCCUGGAUCAGAGACACUCUCUAGGCCUGGCACAAGUAUUCAGCCUCCUUGCUGCCUGCCCCAGCCUUCACUCCCCCAUACCUCUCAGCACACUAGGCAUGCUGUCCCUGGGUCUUUAUCUCAACCUUCAGUGUGAACAUUUAUGUAGCUGUGUCACCCCACCUUUCUCUCACAAACUCACACAUGCACACACUUACAGAUUAUUAAGGCUGUUGGAGGAUGAGUAUCAAAAUGCCAAGUUGGUGCCUAGCACGGAGACUUGCCAGCCCAAUAAAUGUCUGUUGUGGGGCA
ensembl:lncRNA